rnacentral:rRNA from 1 species
GACGAACGCUGGCGGCGUGCUUAACACAUGCAAGUCGAACGGAAAGGCCCUGCUGUUGUGGGGUGCUCGAGUGGCGAACGGGUGAGUAACACGUGAGUAACCUGCCCUUGACUUUGGGAUAACUUCAGGAAACUGGGGCUAAUACCGGAUAGGAGCUCCUGCUGCAUGGUGGGGGUUGGAAAGUUUCGGCGGUUGGGGAUGGACUCGCGGCUUAUCAGCUUGUUGGUGGGGUAGUGGCUUACCAAGGCUUUGACGGGUAGCCGGCCUGAGAGGGUGACCGGCCACAUUGGGACUGAGAUACGGCCCAGACUGCUACGGGAGGCAGCAGUGGGGAAUAUUGCACAAUGGGCGGAAGCCUGAUGCAGCGACGCCGCGUGCGGGAUGACGGCCUUCGGGUUGGAACCCGCUUUCGCCUGUGACGAAGCGUGAGUGACGGUAAUGGGUAAAGAAGCACCGGCUAACUACGUG